rnacentral:rRNA from 1 species
AACGAACGCUGGCGGUAUGCUUAACACAUGCAAGUCGAACGAACAAAAUUGGAGCUUGCUUCAAUUUUAGUGAGUGGCAAACGGGUGAGUAACGCGUGGGAAUCUACCCAUCAGUACGGAAUAACACUUGGAAACAGGUGCUAAUACCGUAUAUUCUCUACGGAGGAAAGAUUUAUCGCUGAUGGAUGAGCCCGCGUAAGAUUAGGUAGUUGGUAGGGUAAAGGCCUACCAAGCCGACGAUCUUUAGCUGGUCUGAGAGGAUGAUCAGCCACACUGG